UACUGACCGUCAUGGCGUACCCUCAAGGGUCAGAGGCGACCAAGGAGUGGAGAAUGUUGACAUUGCUCGAUAUAUGUUUACUGUGCGUGGAACUGACAGGGGAAGCUUCAUAUCUGGGAAAAGUGUGCACAAUCAAAGAAUCGAACGUCUAUGGCGAGACAUCAGGAUGUGUGUAACUUCACACUAUUACAACACACUUCACAGCUUGGAAGCAGAACACCUU